rnacentral:misc_RNA from 13 species
GGGGACUACGGUCGCAAGAUUAAAACUCAAAGGAAUUGACGGGGACCCGCACAAGCGGUGGAGCAUGUGGUUUAAUUCGAUGCAACGCGAAAAACCUUACCACUCCUUGACAUGGAAAUCAUACCUAUUCGAAGGGAUAGGGUCGGUUCGGCCGGAUUUCACACAGGUGUUGCAUGGCUGUCGUCAGCUCGUGUCGUGAGAUGUUGGGUUAAGUCCCGCAACGAGCGUAACCCUCAUCCUUAGUUACCAUCGGGUAAUGCUGGGGACUUUAAGGAAACUGCUAGUGAUAAACUGGAGGAAGGUGGGGAUGAUGUCAAGUCAUCAUGGCCUUUAUGGAGUGGGCUACACACGUGCUACAAUGGUGGCUACAAUGGGCUGCAAAGUCGCGAGGCUAAGCUAAUCUCUUAAAAGCCAUCUCAGUUCGGAUUGUACUCUGCAACUCGAGUGCAUGAAGUUGGAAUCGCUAGUAAUCGUGGAUCAGCAUGCCACGGUGAAUACGUUCUCGGGUCUUGUACACACUGCCCGUCACGCCAUGGGAAUUGGUUUCACUCGAAGCUAAUGACCUAACCGCAAGGAGGGAGUUAUUUAAAGUGGGAUCAGUGACUGGGGUGAAGUCGUAACAAGGUAGCAGUAGGGGAAUCUGCAGCUG